rnacentral:rRNA from 1 species
GACGAACGCUGGCGGCGUGCUUAACACAUGCAAGUCGAACGGAGUUAAGGAGCUUGCUUCUUAACUUAGUGGCGGACGGGUGAGUAACGCGUGAGCAACCUGCCCUUGCGUGGGGGAUAACGUUUGGAAACGAACGCUAAUACCGCAUAACGUACCGAGAUUGCAUGGUUUUGGUACCAAAGAUUUAUUGCUGAAAGAUGGUCUCGCGUCUGAUUAGCUAGUUGGUGAGGUAACGGCUCACCAAGGCGACGAUCAGUAGCCGGUCUGAGAGGAUGAACGGCCACAUUGGGACUGAGAUACGGCCCAGACUCCUACGGGAGGCAGCAGUGGGGAAUAUUGGGCAAUGGGCGAAAGCCUGACCCAGCAACGCCGCGUGAAGGAAGAAGCCUCGGUGUAAACUUCUUUUACCAGGGACGAAGAACGUGACGGUACCUGGAGAAAAGACAACGGACUAACUACGUG